rnacentral:rRNA from 1 species
AACCUCCGCAAUGUGAGAAAUCGCGACGGGGGGAUCCCAAGUGCCAUCCUUAACGGGAUGGCUUUUCAUUAGUGUAAGGAGCUUUUGGAAUAAGAGCUGGGCAAGACCGGUGCCAGCCGCCGCGGUAACACCGGCAGCUCUAGUGGUAGCAGUUUUUAUUGGGCCUAAAGCGUCCGUAGCCGGUUUAAUAAGUCUCUGGUGAAAUCCUGUAGCUUAACUGUGGGAAUUGCUGGAGAUACUAUUAGACUUGAGAUCGGGAGAGGUUAGAGGUACUCCCAGGGUAGAGGUGAAAUUCUGUAAUCCUGGGAGGACCGCCUGUUGCGAAGGCUUCUAACUGGAACGAUUCUGACGGUGAGGGACGAAAGUUAGGGGCGCGAACCGGAUUAGAUACCCGGGUAGUCCUAACUGUAAACGAUGCGGACUUGGUGUUGGGGUGGCUUUGAGCUGCUCAGUGCCGAAGGGAAGCUGUUAAGUCCGCCGCCUGGGAAGUACGGUCGCAAGACUAAAACUUAAAGGAAAU